ACAUAAAAAUGCAACCUUGAUUGCUUAGUGAGAUGACUGUAACACCUCACUUCCAGAAUUCUGUGGAUGGUUUGGACUGUUGUUAAAAGGACUGUUCACAGGGUGAACUGAAAACCAGAAUGAAUAAUCUCAGAGAGGGUGAGUUUUGCUUUUUAUUUUUUAAUUAACUGAAUCUAAUUAUCCUGAAAGAAGCAGUGUUGUAUAUUGUAGUUCGGCAUUUAUAGAGCAGAGGAAUCAUAAGGCAUGUGUUAUUUUACUUUAAUGUAGAAUUGGCAUGGGCAUUGAUAGAUGGAAAGGUAUCUGUAUUGCAAUCCAGAAAUGUGAGCGAGCUCAGUUUGAUUGCAGUGGAACACAGACUGCACUCUGAAUACUAACACAGGAUCCUAAUUCCGUGAUGCACUUGUGCUGGCAGGAGCUGAUGUUAGUGCACCAUGGGAGAUUGUGGAACAGAAAGUGGAACUGGUCCAUUAAACUUACUCUGAAGUG